AGAAAGCAUCCCAAAUCACAGACCAAAGAUCUGUCUUGUGAAAGAGAACUUGUGCGUCCAGCAUUUUUUUUUUGCUGUCCAUUUUGCUUCAUCUCUCAUUAUGUGAAACCACUUCCUUCAAAAUAAGGCAACAAAACAUGACUCUAAGUCAGUCUACUCUCUUCCAUCUAGAAUAGAUUAAAUUGCAAACAGCAAUUAAAAAUAUUGUACAUUUCCAGUGUGUUUUCUCUCCCCUCUCUAAAGGAAUAAAACCACUGCUGAAACAGGAGGAAGUGAAUUGUUCUUGACUGAUGCUUCAGAACCCCUUUGAACUCUUCUGGUGAUUAUGACUCUCAAUUUCAGAUACAAUGUCUACAGUGAAUGAGCAUCUACUGCCCCAUAAAUAAGCCACAAACCAUUUGUAGUCGUUUGCUAGAAUAGAAUUAUUCAUCCCCCUUGGCAUCUGAGUUUCUCACCUCAAGUGACCUGUUAAAACUCAAAACUUCAACUCAGAAAUAAUUCAUAUCACAAAACAGUCUUAAAGGACAGCAAGAACAUACACAUUUGUUCAAAGGUGCUCAAGAAUCACUGACAAUGGAAAAUCAAGUAAUCUUUGUGCUCCAGGUCCCAGUAUUUCCAGCUAAAACGCAUUAAAAGGAAAAAAAAAUCAAGUUUAUUAUCCCUAUCUACGACUUGUGGUGUGAUAUUUUCCUUUAUAGCAUUCUGAAUCUUCUACCUCCUGAGAACAAUGAACUUCAGAAAAGAAUACAAGGAAAAAAUCGCUCUUGCUUUCAAGAAUAUAAUUUCAGAAAUGAUUCACUGGAAAUAGUGUGGAACGAAAGAGAGUUGGAAUAAAAGAUGAAAAUGGCUAUUCUAUUUGCUUUGUAUUAAUUCUGCUUUAAUCUCUGUGUAAAGACUAGGUAUUUCUAGGUGUGGGGCAUGGCAAGAAAAUGGAAUGAAUGAGACAUCAAAAUGAUGUAACAGUGCUUCCUGUUCUUUGUUACAUAGAGCGUUGCAUAUGUCCCUAUGAGAUGCUUAUCUGCUCUGCACACCUAAUACCAGCAAAAUGAAGAUGUGAAGUGCUUUCAGCUGAAGAAACCCACUUAGUCAUCUGCAAACACCUCCCUUAGCGCUCUCCUGUUCCACACAUCUUCAACAGCACACACCCAUGUCCUCAGCUUUCCUGGGCCCAGAUCAGGAACUGGAGCUGACAGAGGAAACCGGACCAUGCUAACAUCUGGGAUGCAGCUACCGACAGAACUAAGGCACCAUUCUGGCAUCAGGGAUUAAUAAAUGUUAUAGUACCUUAAUCA
rnacentral:lncRNA from 1 species